rnacentral:rRNA from 1 species
UACGUAGGGGGCAAGCGUUGUCCGGAUUUAUUGGGCGUAAAGAGCGUGUAGGCGGCCAGGUAGGUGGGUUGUGAAAACUGGAGGCUCAACCUUCAGAGGUCGACCCAAACCCCCUGGCUAGAGUCCGGAAGAGGAGAGUGGAAUUCCUGGUGUAGCGGUGAAAUGCGCAGAUAUCAGGAAGAACACCCGUGGCGAAGGCGGCUCUCUGGGACGGUACUGACGCUGAGACGCGAAAAGCGUGGGGAGCGAACAGG